ACGGUACAACGGGUCGCAAGACCGCGAGGUUUAGCAAAUCUCUUAAAGCCGUUCUCAGUUCGGAUUGUAGGCUGCAACUCGCCUACAUGAAGUCGGAAUCGCUAGUAAUCGCGGAUCAGCAUGCCGCGGUGAAUACAUUCCCGGGCCUUGUACACACCGCCCGUCACACCAUGAGAGUUUGUAACACCCAAAGCCGGUGGGGUAACCUUUUGGAGCCAGCCGUCUAAGGUGGGACAGAUGAUUGGGGUGAAGUCGUAACAAGGUACC
rnacentral:rRNA from 1 species